UUUUUAGGAGAAUGCUGAAAUAACAACAGGAGCUGCUAUAACCCAAGUGACAUGAACUAAUGAAAUACUCCCAAGUUCAUGCUGCCAAGUCAGGAUUGGUGAUGUUACAUGAGAAACAUCAAUAGGCUACAGAGAUUUUUAAACAACUCUCUCAACACACAGCCUGAGGAGAAUGCUAAUAAUGCUCAAGAGAGUGCUGGACAACAACAAAGAACAGAGGAAUCAGGAGGAGAAUAGUAAACUAUUUUCUCUAAAGAGCUUCCAGUGUCAAUGUUUGGGUCUGGAGAGCAAUGUGGCUAGGGGAAUCUUAGGAUGGGCUUGAGGAGUCCAAACAGAAGUAGAAGAAAGGCAAUUCCUUAACUUUGUGGGUUAAGCACAAUCAUGGGUUCCUUCAGUAAAACAGACUGGCAAGCCAUUGUAGUAUGUUGUAUAUAACGUGUAGGUCUUUUACCACUUGAGCUGAAGCCCCUGAGGACAGGUGGAAACUUAUGUCAGUUCUGUCUCUAAACUUGAGGUAUGGUGUCUUGUAGAAGUUACAACCCUUCUUGAUGGAGUCAGGCCCAGGAAUCAGAGUCAGAAGAAGGACCCAGAGGUGGGCAGAGCAGGCCUGGCUGCUGCCUCACACCACCCAGGGCCACUUUCCCUUGACUCAGAAAGUUUGCUUCUGAGAAGUGCUUCUCAAAGCUGGUGGCCCCAGAGGCCCCACUCAGUGUGAAAUCUCUGGCCUGCAGAUCUGCUCAGGAUGUUCUACGUGUUUUCAUAGCCUGGAUUGUUAAAUCUCUUCAGGACCCCUUGGAGCCCUAAAGCCGGCUCCCUGCAGAAACAUGUGAUGAAGACUUGAUGAAUGCUGUGUGUCUGUUACAUUACACACUGCCAUGUACACAGGCUGUUUUGUUAAAAAUACAAAUGGUCAAGUUCAUUGUAUAUAGUAGAGCAAAAUUCUACCUGUACUUGUACACACGAAUAAGAAUGUAUUUAAAAACAGCUACCCAGCAUUGUUCCCAUAGUGAAUACAUAUAGGAUAGAUUUGCAAAUUGCCUGUGUUAUUAAUUCUCCCCACAAGUUGGCAGGAUGACUUGAUGAUAAUUAGGCCUCUCAUAAAUGAUUGGCCAAGUAGAACAUCAGAAGUAUGGUAGAUAAGAAGUUUCUGCUCUCUCCAUGUAAGUAAGAAGUAUUAUGAAAUUCUGUAGCAUUUUCGUCAGCUAGGAGGCCUCAUUGAGCACUACCUCAGGGCCUUCAGAUCCAGGGUAUGAAUAAAAGAAGAAAGAAAAUUUCCACAGCUUAUUGGGAAACAUAGGGAAGUCUGAGAAUAGAGAGUGACUGUUCCUGCCAGAAGGUCCCUGUUUUCAAGGAGAGAGUGAAUGCUAUUGUCAUGAUACCAGGGUGACUUGAUAAUAAGGCAUUGCUUCAGUGGGUCUGUAGUCCUGGCACGAACCCAGGGGUAAUGUGGAAAGAGAGGAGACCAAUUAAUUGGGUGUGCUAGAAAAUAAUCUUCUAGUUAUAUUAGUCUCAGAUGCUUUAGCAGCCAAUGCAGUAAAGACAGGACAUUCCAAGAUGAGGUGGAGCAAGCUGCAUCUUAGAGAGGGCAAGUGAAGAGAAGCGGACAACACAUAGAUCAGACACCUCCAGUCCCAUUCCAAGACAGUAGGCAAGCAUCCAUCUAGAUCCAGACCCCUUCCUGAGGAGAAUGAGGGAAGGGGAGACUCACAGGAAUGCUCUCCUGAUAUGAAAUUUGAAUGGACUAACUGAAUUCUCUGGAGGCUAGGAGUUAAAACAGGAAGUGACCAACAUUGCCUUUAAUUGGCAAAUGUUAAUGAGUCGCAUUUGCUGCAUCCUCUCCCAAUGUCCAAGCAUGUGAAAUGCAAACUGAGCUUAGUAAUAGACAAGAGAAAUUUAUUUCCUUAUGAGUUGUGAUGAAAAGAAAUAAAGUUGCUAUAUGUUCAAAAUAUAA